GCCUCAUGCCUGAAAGGGCGACGGGGCAGCUCGGAGCGAGAAGUCAGCAGAGGCCGUAGUAGCCGCAUUCCGGGCGAAGGGC
rnacentral:ncRNA from 1 species